rnacentral:lncRNA from 1 species
GAAAGAGAAUCAAAGCGAGAAAGCAUGAGAUGCUUAAUCAGAUCGCAAACUAGUACAUCUUUGUAGAAACAAGGGUUAUACAUGACAGAACACAAACUAAAUCAUUUUUCCUUUUUCUUUUUUUGCAAACAUGUUAUAUGACUCCGGAUCCAUCAAGCAAAUCCCCAUCCAAAAUCAGAGAACUCUUAUCUAUCGAGAGAUGGACUCCUCCUUUUUCUUUUUUUGCAAACAUGUUAUAUGACUCCGGAUCCAUCAAGCAAAUCCCCAUCCAAAAUCAGAGAACUCUUAUCUAUCGAGAGAUGGACUCCUAUGCCGUAUAGAACAUAACGAAGUACUAAAAGUAGAGAUCGGCCAUAGCACAAGUCCUUGUUACUCCAGAUUCACAGAAAGAAUUUGUUACUCCAGAUUCACAGAAAGAAUCAGAAGCAGCAGAGCCACCCAACAAGUUAACAUAAGAUUCCUACACCUACAUAGCUGAAUCCCGUCACAGCAAGAACACCGCAAAAUCCCCCUCACUCGAUCCAGUCUAAAACGUCCAAAUACAACAGAUCCUCCCAGUAAACGCGCGCACGGGGGGAUGCGACCGAGCCGAAUCGGGCGGGUCAACGGCGUCCAGAUCGGCCCGCCCCCCCGCCGCCGCAUCCGCCAUCAUAGGGGAGGAGGAGGAGGAGGAGGCUUUUUAUUUUUUAUUUUACCGUGCCGUCGAGGGAGCCGGUCGGCGACGACGGUGUACGGCGAGAGAACGGGCGCGCCCCCUCCGUCCCUCGAUACCGCCGUCGAUCGGACCCGGCGGCGGCGAGGGGAGGAUUCGUCUCGCGGCGAGCUGAGGCUAAGACGAAAGGGGAGGAGGAAGGAGGGGAAAGGAGACGGGAGACUCGAGAGAGAGGGAG